rnacentral:rRNA from 1 species
AGAUGGCGACCGGCGCACGGGUGAGUAACACGUAUCCAACCUGCCGAUAACUCGGGGAUAGCCUUUCGAAAGAAAGAUUAAUACCCGAUGGUAUAAUCAGACCGCAUGGUUUGACUAUUAAAGAAUUUCGGUUAUCGAUGGGGAUGCGUUCCAUUAGGCAGUUGGUGAGGUAACGGCUCACCAAACCUUCGAUGGAUAGGGGUUCUGAGAGGAAGGUCCCCCACAUUGGAACUGAGACACGGUCCAA